rnacentral:rRNA from 1 species
GAUGAACGCUGGCGGCGUGCUUAACACAUGCAAGUCGAACGGGAAACCUUUUAUUGAAGCUUCGGCAGAUUUAGCUGGUUUCUAGUGGCGGACGGGUGAGUAACGCGUGGGUAACCUGCCUUAUACAGGGGGAUAACAACCAGAAAUGGUUGCUAAUACCGCAUAAGCGCACAGGACCGCAUGGUCCGGUGUGAAAAACUCCGGUGGUAUAAGAUGGACCCGCGUUGGAUUAGCUAGUUGGCAGGGUAACGGCCUACCAAGGCGACGAUCCAUAGCCGGCCUGAGAGGGUGAACGGCCACAUUGGGACUGAGACACGGCCCAGACUCCUACGGGAGGCAGCAGUGGGGAAUAUUGCACAAUGGGGGAAACCCUGAUGCAGCGACGCCGCGUGAAGGAAGAAGUAUCUCGGGAUGUAAACUUCUAUCAGCAGGGAAGAUAGUGACGGUACCUGACUAAGAAGCCCCGGCUAACUACGUG